rnacentral:rRNA from 1 species
UUGAGCGGGGGACAACAUUUGGAAACGAAUGCUAAUACCGCAUAACAACUCUAAAACACAAGUUUUAAGUUUGAAAGAUGCAAUUGCAUCACUCAAAGAUGAUCCCGCGUUGUAUUAGCUAGUUGGUGAGGUAAAGGCUCACCAAGGCGAUGAUACAUAGCCGACCUGAGAGGGUGGUCGGCCACAUUGGGACUGAGACACGGCCCAAACUCCUACGGGAGGCAGCAGUAGGGAAUCUUCGGCAAUGGACGAAAGUCUGACCGAGCAACGCCGCGUGAGUGAAGAAGGUUUUCGGAUCGUAAAACUCUGUUGGUAGAGAAGAACGUUGGUGAGAGUGGAAAGCUCAUCAAGUGACGGUAACUACCCAGAAAGGGACGGCUAACUACGUGCCAGCAGCCGCGGUAAUACGUAGGUCCCGAGCGUUGUCCGGAUUUAUUGGGCGUAAAGCGAGCGCAGGUGGUUUAUUAAGUCUGGUGUAAAAGGCAGUGGCUCAACCAUUGUAUGCAUUGGAAACUGGUAGACUUGAGUGCAGGAGAGGAGAGUGGAAUUCCAUGUGUAGCGGUGAAAUGCGUAGAUAUAUGGAGGAACACCGGUGGCGAAAGCGGCUCUCUGGCCUGUAACUGACACUGAGGCUCGAAAGCGUGGGGAGCAAACAGGAUUAGAUACCCUGGUAGUCCACGCCGUAAACGAUGAGUGCUAGAUGUAGGGAGCUAUAAGUUCUCUGUAUCGCAGC